UAGGAUCGUGUUAAUCCUUAUACCUUCUAGGGAGGUUCCUUGACAGCAUCGCAGUCGUUGAUUUGUUGGAUGGCAUUCUUUGCUAUAAACUCUGUACAAUGGCCUUCUCUCAUGAGUUUUUCGAGAUAUGUUCUCCAAGCAAAGCAGUUGUUUGUGUUGUGUCCAUGCGUCCCAUGGAAGGAACAAUAUUUUCUAGUAUCCUUCUUGUCCAGAU
rnacentral:lncRNA from 1 species